rnacentral:lncRNA from 1 species
GGAUUCUGUAUGGAAGGAAAAUACCACUCAGACAUAGAAAGCGGCACUUGUGUGGAGGAGAAAUGGCUGGCUAACUUAACAAGCCAGGUGGCAGGCAGUGGGGAUGGAGUAACAAGCCUUUCUCCCUUCAGUCAGCUGGGCUUUCUCUCUGGGUCUGUUGGUAUGCACAGGUACUGGCAAAGGUGUGGAGUGGACUUCCUGCAUCUCCCAACGAGCUCUGUACAUGCUGGAUUCCUAAAUGAUGAAAACACACCUGCUUGGGACAGGAAGCAAGUUUUUGCAAAUUGAGAUUUAUCAUGCCAAGUUUUGUUUUGUGCACGGGCUCUAUCGAAGCAAAGCUCGUAAUCAUGAUUGUAUAGCAAUCCAUCCUUCGUGAAACUAACUGGAAGUGAAGAAUGACCUGACAAUUUGAUUUAAGCAGAAACAUGAGUUUGCAGCCCAGCCCUGAGAAUGAGAUGUUCCUCUCUCCCUCCAGACCUGUCUGCUGCAUCUCUCUGGAAGCAGCGUGGUAAUCUUCCUAGGGUAAAAUGAACCUUCUCGGACCCUACGUCAGCUUUGUGGCCCUGUGAUAAGAACAAGAAGAAACAGUAAAGGAAACGCACCGUUUCGGCUGAAUCAGAUUUCAGAUCAGGAGACUCAAGGUCAUAAAAAGAAGGACGCUGCAAGAAGGGCGGAAGGGGAUCUCUCCCACCCCUGAACUUCGCUACACCUACUUCUAUGGUGAUUUCUAAUUCAGUAUGAGCUU